UGCCUUGAGGGACGCAGAGUUAUGAUAAAGG
rnacentral:piRNA from 1 species